rnacentral:rRNA from 1 species
CGGAGGAUCCGAGCGCUAUCCGGAUUUAUUGGGUUUAAAGGGUGCGCAGGCGGGAGAUUAAGUCGGCGGUGAAAUUUUGCAGCUCAACUGUAAAAGUGCCUUCGAAACUGGUUUCCUUGAGUGUAGAUGAAGUAGGCGGAAUUUGUGGUGUAGCGGUGAAAUGCAUAGAUAUCACGAGGAACUCCGAUUGCGCAGGCAGCUUACUAAACUACUACUGACGCUCAGGCACGAAGGCGUGGGGAUCAAACAGGAUUAGAUACCCU